rnacentral:rRNA from 1 species
AUUGAACGCUGGCGGCAGGCCUAACACAUGCAAGUCGAGCGAGCGGCGGACGGGUGAGUAAUGUCUGGGGACUGCCCGAUAGAGGGGGAUAACUACUGGAAACGGUAGCUAAUGCCGCAUACUAUCGGAUUACCCAGAUGGGAUUAGCUAGUAGGUGUGGUAAUGGCGCACCUCGGCGACGAUCCCUAGCUGGUCUGAGAGGAUGAUCAGCCCAACUGGGACUGAGACACGGCCCAGACUCCUACGGAGGCAGCAGUGGGGAAUAUUGCACAAUGGGCGCAAGCCUGAUGCAGCCAUGCCGCGUGUAUGAAGAAGGCCCUAGGGUUGUAAAGUACUUUCAGUCGGGAGGCGUUACCGACAGAAGAAGCACCGGCUAACUCCGUGCCAGCAGCCGCGGUAAUAC